UCAGGUGCCCAAAAGCUGAACAGAGCUGAGCUUGAAGUCGCCUGUGAAGAUUUUAGCAACAUCAACACUUUUCCUACAUGUACCGUGUUCAAGGGCAUAUUAUCAGGCGGGGUCGAGAUCAGCAUUGUCUCCACUGUCAUAUCGUCGAGCAAAGACUGGUCCAGGAGCGCAGAAACAUGCUUCAAGAAAAAGCUUAUGUCCAUAAUUCUUCAAGUCUGCAUAUGACUGCAUCAUUCUUCAGCCUUCUAGACUCCUUCCACUUCUGCCCCCUCGGAUACAAGGACUUCCCAGACUUAGGUAACACAACCUCUUCUCUUCUUUCAACAUGUUGUCAUGUUGUGCUUGAGUUAUGGUACAACUGGAGUUGGGUGAAAGCGACAUGGAGCCUUGAAGUGGUAGGUACCAGCUUUCACAUGUCCUCCGGGUCUGAAGUUUCUUGUGUUUGUC